CAGCAGCCGCGGGAAUUCGUAGGGUGCGAGCGUUAAUCGGAAUUACUGGGCGUAAAGCGUGCGCAGGCGGUUGUGUAAGACAGGUGUGAAAUCCCCGGGCUUAACCUGGGAACUGCAUUUGAGACUGUAUGGCUAGAGUGUGUCAGAGGGGGGUAGAAUUCCACGUGUAGCAGUGAAAUGCGUAGAUAUGUGGAGGAAUACCGAUGGCGAAGGCAGCCCCCUGGGAUAACACUGACGCUCAUGCACGAAAGCGUGGGGAGCAAACAGGAUUAGAUACCCGCGUAGUCCCUGUCUCUUAUAC
rnacentral:rRNA from 1 species